rnacentral:rRNA from 1 species
ACGGGUGCGUAACGCGUGGGAAUCUGCCCUUUGGUUCGGAAUAACAGCUGGAAACGGCUGCUAAUACCGGAUGAUGACGAAAGUCCAAAGAUUUAUCGCCAGAGGAUGAGCCCGCGUUGGAUUAGGUAGUUGGUGGGGUAAAGGCCUACCAAGCCGACGAUCCAUAGCUGGUCUGAGAGGAUGAUCAGCCACACUGGGACUGAGACACGGCCCAGACUCCUACGGGAGGCAGCAGUGGGGAAUAUUGGACAAUGGGCGAAAGCCUGAUCCAGCAAUGCCGCGUGAGUGAUGAAGGCCCUAGGGUUGUAAAGCUCUUUUACCCGGGAAGAUAAUGACUGUACCGGGAGAAUAAGCCCCGGCUAACUCCGUGCCAGCAGCCGCGGUAAUACGGAGGGGGCUAGCGUUGUUCGGAAUUACUGGGCGUAAAGCGCACGUAGGCGGCUUUGUAAGUCAGAGGUGAAAGCCUGGAGCUCAACUCCAGAACUGCCUUUGAGACUGCAUCGCUUGAAUCCAGGAGAGGCCAGUGGAAUUCCGAGUGUAGAGGUGAAAUUCGUAGA